CCUGCCACGAGAGGCAUUGCAGAUGUGGCUAAUGUCACAUAUGUGUCAGGAGGUGGCAGAGAGGAGAAAGCCUACAUUUAUAUUCAGUGUUCUGACUUAUGAAUGUCUGAAUGAUUAAUAGCCUAACAUU
rnacentral:snoRNA from 1 species